rfam:Ogataea parapolymorpha DL-1 chromosome VI, whole genome shotgun sequence.
GUCAGUUUGUCCGAGCGGUUAAGGAGAAAGACUUGAAAUCUUUUGUGCUAUGCACUCACAGGUUCGAAUCCUGUAGCUGACG